GAUUUGCGCAUUAGGUGAGCUCAGGUUUAAAAUGCCAGUUGAUUGAGGUGUGGACUUGCGGAUGGUAUAAGAACGUUUAAGAGACAGUUGGUUAGCUUUAUGUUAACUUGAAACAUGGCAGAGUCGUUAGAAAGAGAAACCUCAACUGAGAAAAACGCUGCUUCCAAAUUGGCCUGUGAUUGAUUACUGAUCAAUGCGGGAGGGCCCAUCUGAAUGUGUGCUGCUGCCACCCCUGGGCCGGUGGUCUUUCGGUAUGUGAAAAAGGCUGAGUGAACUAGCCAGAAAGCAACAUUCCUUCAGAGCUUCUUCAGUUCCUGCCUCAAGUUCCUUUGAUGAUGGGCUGUGAUGUGGAAGUCUGAAUCUAUGGACUUUUUCAUCUUCCUGUGAUAGCUGAUAGCAACCCAAAGAAGAUAGGUCAUCGAAACCGAAAUUACCUUCUAAUCUUCCUCCAGAAUUGUAAAAGGAGAAAAAUUUUGAUGUUCUUAAAGAUGGAUCCAUUAGCCUUAAUUUACUCUCAAGGACCCACUCUGGUACUAUUUGUUGUAGCUGUUAUUUAGUUGCUAGGACUUGAAAUCAGGACCUAGAACAUACAGGCACAUCUGUUGGAACAUACUUCUUCAGGACUCCAGCUUAUACAGAAGACAAGCUGAAUCUCCUAGCCUCACAGGACUGAGCAACUACUAGACUCUUGGACUUCCCAUUCACAGCUGCCUAUUGGGUUGGUUGAACUGGAGACUUAAGUCAUUACAAUAAAUUCCCUUAAUAUAUACAUUCCCUAAGUCCUGUGACUUUAGAGAAUCCUGACUAAUUCAUGAAAAAGGAUUUGAUACUACAAAUGACCUGUUUCUUACCAUACUUUUGCAUUAAUUUUUUCUUUUUAAAAAUUUGGGACAUGAUAUCAUUUGCAGCCAUGACUGACACUGAACUCAUGUUCCUCCUGUCUUGGACUUCCUGAGUGCUGGGAUCACAGGCAAGCAUCACCACCUUUAACUACCUGGGUCUAUUACUAUUAGAACCUGUUUAUAAUAAUUGCCUAUGACGUUUGCUAGUUUGUAAUAUUCUAUUUCCUCAAUCUUGCAUUAUUCAUUCCAAUUUUACUACAAUGAAGACCUUUUCCUACUUACUUUUUUUGAAAGGAUUUGAUUAUAUAAGUAUGAAGGUACAUUUGUUUUAUUUCAUGGGUUAUAAUUAAUUAUGACCAACAUCAUUUUUCUAAGAUUAUCCAAAGCUAGGACAGCUUUCUAAUUUUCUGACAGAAAACUAACUUUUGUUAUUCAUAGAAUAUUUGCUUCUUUGCUAUAGACGGAUGAAGUAAUUUCAUAAUCGCUAACAAAUAUUUCAGAAAAGUAAAUGUUCAGAUUUUUUUUUUCUGGUAAGCUACCUCAAAAGUUUUUUGCGCC
ensembl:antisense Gm16794 predicted gene, 16794